AAAUGAAUAUCAUUUGUACCGUAGACAGUAGGUGCCCGUUUGCGGCUUAAUUUCCUACCGAGGUAUGUGGACGAUAGAACAGCGCGUCGUCUGUUUUCCGUUCGGUGCGCUGAACGAUACCUCCAUGUCUACGCGGCAUGGAGGUUUUUGGUUGAACGC
rfam:Geobacillus sp. B4113_201601 NODE_14, whole genome shotgun sequence.